rnacentral:rRNA from 1 species
AUGAACGCUGGCGGCGUGCCUAAUACAUGCAAGUCGAGCGGACGGACGAGAAGCUUGCUUUUCUGAUGUUAGCGGCGGACGGGUGAGUAACACGUGGAUAACCUACCUAUAAGACUGGGAUAACUUCGGGAAACCGGAGCUAAUACCGGAUAAUAUUUUGAACCGCAUGGUUCAUAAGUGAAAGACGGUCUUGCUGUCACUUAUAGAUGGAUCCGCGCUGCAUUAGCUAGUUGGUAAGGUAACGGCUUACCAAGGCAACGAUGCAUAGCCGACCUGAGAGGGUGAUCGGCCACACUGGAACUGAGACACGGUCCAGACUCCUACGGGAGGCAGCAGUAGGGAAUCUUCCGCAAUGGGCGAAAGCCUGACGGAGCAACGCCGCGUGAGUGAUGAAGGUCUUCGGAUCGUAAAACUCUGUUAUUAGGGAAGAACAUAUGUGUAAGUAACUGUGCACAUCUUGACGGUACCUAAUCAGAAAGCCACGGCUAACUACGUG